AUUGAACGCUGGCGGCAUGCCUUACACAUGCAAGUCGAACGGUAGCGCGGGGCAACCUGGCGACGAGUGGCGAACGGGUGAGUAAUGCAUCGGAACGUGCCCUGGAAUGGGGGAUAACGUAGCGAAAGUUACGCUAAUACCGCAUAUUCUGUGAGCAGGAAAGCAGGGGAUCGCAAGACCUUGCGUUCUGGGAGCGGCCGAUGUCGGAUUAGCUAGUUGGUGGGGUAAAGGCCUACCAAGGCGACGAUCCGUAGCUGGUCUGAGAGGAUGAUCAGCCACACUGGGACUGAGACACGGCCCAGACUCCUACGGGAGGCAGCAGUGGGGAAUAUUGGACAAUGGGCGCAAGCCUGAUCCAGCCAUGCCGCGUGAGUGAUGAAGGUCUUCGGAUUGUAAAACUCUUUCGCCGGGGAAGAUAAUGACGGUACCCGGAGAAGAAGCUCCGGCUAACUUCGUGCCAGCAGCCGCGGUAAAGCGUAUGU
rnacentral:rRNA from 1 species